UCCCUGAUUGUCUACCGCUUAAGACUCUGUGCUUCCAAUGCCGGGGGAGCAGGUUCGAUCCCUGUUUAGGGAA
rfam:Ovis aries breed Texel chromosome 17, whole genome shotgun sequence.